GUUCUGCCUAGCAAGUAUAAAAACCUCUGCCUCCUGGGUUCAAGCAAUUCUCCAACCUCAGCCUCCGCAGUAGCUGGAAUUACAGGAAUCAUGAUGGCUGCAGCUUAACCAGAAAACCUUUGUAGCAUGAGA